rnacentral:rRNA from 1 species
GAUGAACGCUGGCGGCGUGCCUAAUACAUGCAAGUCGAGCGAACGGACGAGAAGCUUUCUUCUCUGAUGUUAGCGGCGGACGGGUUAGUAACACGUGGAUAACCUCCCUAUAAGACUGGGAUAACUUCGGGAAACCGGAGCUAAUACCGGAUAAUAUUUUGAACCGCAUGGUUCAAAAGUGAAAGACGGUCUUGCUGUCACUUAUAGAUGGAUCCGCGCUGCAUUAGCUAGUUGGUAAGGUAACGGCUUACCAAGGCAACGAUGCAUAGCCGAUCUGAGAGGAUGAUCGGCCACACUGGAACUGAGACACGGUCCAGACUCCUACGGGAGGCAGCAGUAGGGAAUCUUCCGCAAUGGGCGAAAGCCUGACGGAGCAACGCCGCGUGAGUGAUGAAGGUCUUCGGAUCGUAAAACUCUGUUAUUAGGGAAGAACAGAUGUGUAAGUAACUGGGCACAUCUUGACGGUACCGAAUGAGAAAGCCACGGCUAACUACGUG